rnacentral:rRNA from 1 species
GUGGGGAAUAUUGGGCAAUGGGCGCAAGCCUGACCCAGCAACGCCGCGUGAGGGAAGAAGGCUUUCGGGUUGUAAACCUCUGUCCUUGGUGACGAAACAAAUGACGGUAGCCAAGGAGGAAGCCCCGGCUAACUACGUGCCAGCAGCCGCGGUAAUACGUAGGGGGCGAGCGUUGUCCGGAAUUACUGGGCGUAAAGGGUGCGUAGGUGGCCUUUUAAGUUGGAUGUGAAAUACCCGGGCUUAACUUGGGGGGUGCAUGCAAAACUGGGAGGCUAGAGUGCAGAAGAGGAAAGCGUAAUUCCUAGGGUAGCGGUGAAAUGCGUAGAUAUUAGGAGGAACACCAGUGGCGAAGGCGGCUUUCUGGACUGUAACUGACACUGAGGCACGAAAGCGUGGGGAGCAAACAGGAUUAGAUACCCUGGUAGUCC